GACGAACCGUCCAAACGUUAUUCGGAAUUACUGGGCUUAAAGCGUGCGUAGGCGGCCUGGAAAGUUGGGUGUGAAAUCCCUCGGCUCAACCGAGGAAUGGCGCUCAAAACUGUCAGGCUUGAGAGAGAUAGGGGUGAGCGGAACUAAUGGUGGAGCGGUGAAAUGCGUUGAUAUCAUUAGGAACACCGGUGGCGAAAGCGGCUCACUGGGUCUUUGCUGACGCUGAGGCACGAAAGCUAGGGGAGCGAACCGG
rnacentral:misc_RNA from 1 species